rnacentral:rRNA from 1 species
UACGGAAGGCAGCAGUGGGGAAUAUUGCACAAUGGGCGCAAGCCUGAUGCAGCCAUGCCGCGUGUAUGAAGAAGGCCUUCGGGUUGUAAAGUACUUUCAGUCGUGAGGAAGGUGUUAAGGUUAAUAACCUUAGCAAUUGACGUUAGCGACAGAAGAAGCACCGGCUAACUUCGUGCCAGCAGCCGCGGUAAUACGGAGGGUGCGAGCGUUAAUCGGAAUUACUGGGCGUAAAGGGCACGCAGGCGGUUAAUUAAGUUGGAUGUGAAAUCCCCGGGCUUAACCUGGGAAUGGCAUUCAAGACUGGUUAGCUAGAGUCUUGUAGAGGGGGUAGAAUUCCAUGUGUAGCGGUGAAAUGCGUAGAGAUGUGGAGGAAUACCGGUGGCGAAGGCGGCCCCUGGGACAAAGGACUGACGCUCAUGUGCGAAAGCGUGGGGAGCAAAC